rnacentral:rRNA from 1 species
GACGCUGGCGGUAGGCUUAACACAUGCAAGUCGAGCGAGAAAGUAUCUUCGGAUAUGAGUAGAGCGGCGGACGGGUGAGUAACGCGUAGGAAUCUACCUAGUAGAAGGGGAUAGCCCGGGGAAACUCGGAUUAAUACCGUAUACCUCCUAAGGGAGAAAGAGGGCCUCUCUUGAAGCUCUCGCUAUUAGAUGAGCCUGCGUAAGAUUAGCUUGUUGGUAAGGUAAUGGCUUACCAAGGCUACGAUCUUUAGCUGGUCUGAGAGGACGAUCAGCCACAUUGGGACUGAGACACGGCCCAGACUCCUACGGGAGGCAGCAGUGGGGAAUAUUGGACAAUGGGCGCAAGCCUGAUCCAGCCAUACCGCGUGUGUGAAGAAGGCCUUCGGGUUGUAAAGCACUUUAAGCAGGGAGAAAAAGCAAUAAGUUAAUACCUUAUUGCCGUGAUGUUACCUGCAGAAUAAGCACCGGCUAAUUCCGUGCCAGCAGCCGCGGUAAUACGGAAGGUGCAAGCGUUAAUCGGAAUUACUGGGCGUAAAGCGCGCGUAGGUGGUUUGUUAAGUUGGAUGUGAAAGCCCUGGGCUCAACCUAGGAACUGCAUCCAAAACUAACUCACUAGAGUACGAUAGAGGGAGGUAGAAUUCAUAGUGUAGCGGUGGAAUGCGUAGAUAUUAUGAAGAAUACCAGUGGCGAAGGCGGCCUCCUGGAUCUGUACUGACACUAAGGUGCGAAAGCGUGGGUAGCGAACAGGAUUAGAUACCCUGGUAGUCCACGCCGUAAACGAUGACAACUAGCUGUUGGGAGACAAUGUCUUUCAGUGGCGCAGCUAACGUUUUAAGUUGUCCGCC